GACGGAAGGUGCAAGCGUUGCUCGGAAUCACUGGGCGUAAAGGGCGCGUAGGCGGCUACGCACGUCCGUUGUGAAAUCGCUCGGCUCAACUGGGCGGGGUCAGCGGAUACGGCGUAGCUGGAGCAAGCUAGGGGGCAAUGGAAUUCCCGGUGUAGUGGUGGAAUGCGUAGAUAUCGGGAGGAACACCAGUGGCGAAGGCGGUUGCCUGGAGCUUUGCUGACGCUGAUGCGCGAAAGCGUGGGGAGCGAUCCGG
rnacentral:rRNA from 1 species